CUCCUCCAUCUCCUCGUGCCCACCCCCACCUCCUCCCACCUUCGCCCCCAAAUCCUCUGGCAACACCGACGCGCAACGGCGCCGCCCUCCUGCGCCCACUCUGUCCACCACCCAGGGAACCUCCCCUGGCGAUGGAUCUGGCCCUGCUGUGCCCCUCCUUCACCGUGCUGGAUCCGCCGCCAGCCAACGGAUCCCGUCCGCUCUCGGCCAUCCUGCCGUCAGAGCUUCACCAUGUCGCGGGGGUGCGCGGCAGCACGACCACUGUCUAUCGGCGGCGACCCGUCCCCGAGCCCCCCUGCCCCCCUGUGGUCACCCUCUUCCUCUCGGGGUUGCCGCUCCUUCAUGCCGGCCAGGGCGAGGUGUUGUCCCGACAUGGUGGGCGCCAAGGCUUCGCCUCCUCCGGAUCCGGCGGCCAUGGCCUCUGCCGUCUCAUCUGCUGCUUCCCGCGAUUGUACCUCACGAAGAAGAUGGCGACUGUGGUGGCGACGCCUCGCGCCCCAAGGAGUAGGGGCAGCAGCGCUGGGGCGAAGGUUGGUGGCAGGAAGGACGGGCCCAAGUGCAGGGUGGUGCUGCCCAACAUUGUCACCGCCGGUGUGUAGUUCAGCUGGGCACUGCAGCUCUCCCUCCUCACCCAUGAAGUUCGCCGUCGACGCCCCCUGCACACUGCUGUUAAUUUUGGCCACUUCGUCCACAUCGCCAGUGCUUUUGAUAGGUGACCUGCAGUUCGCCCCCUCCCCUCGGCGGCCCAGCGGCCACCACAAGCCGGCGACGCUGCAGUUCAUUUUGGGUUGAUGUUGAAUUGAUCGGCGCUGAAGGCCCGUGCAGUCUGGUGUGGCACAAGCAUUCAGUAUGGGCGGCGGCGAGGUAGCUCAUGUAGUUCCUGUACGCGGUGCGUGCGGUUUGUUUGCACCCCAUGUGCACGAUGCAUGCAGGUCGUGUGUGUCGACGUUCAGUUCGCCGGGAAACUACAGAAGAAAAAAGAUCAUUUUUUAAAUUCAUUUUCUUCUUGAAUGUGUUAGAGAGAAAAUGUAAGAAAUUAUAAAAAAAGAUGCAGUCCGUUGGUGCACUGCUUGCGGCUCGCGUGGUUCGUCUGUGUAGUUUUUUAGAUUUUUAUUUGUAAAAAAGGUAUCUGGUUCAUUUUGUGGUGGUUUGUGCUUCACCUUAUGAAAAAAGAGGAAAAAGUAAUUCCCAUUAGAAAAAAAACAUCAGAGGCACACACUUGGGAAAUAGAGAAAGUGUCUGGUAUGUAAAUUUUUGAAGCUCACUUUGUAAUCUCAUGUAGUUCGCUAUAAAAUCCUUCAUGGUUCAUUUGGUAAACAGAAAACAAAA